CUUUGAUGAAGUUUUCGGAUGGAUUUAAACAGCUUAGUGGCGGACGGGUGAGUAACGCGUGGGUAACCUGCCUCACACUGGGGGAUAACAGUUAGAAAUAGCUGCUAAUACCGCAUAAGCGCACGGUUCCGCAUGGAACAGUGUGAAAAACUCCGGUGGUAUAAGAUGGACCCGCGUCUGAUUAGCUGGUUGGUGAGGUAACGGCCCACCAAGGCGACGAUCAGUAGCCGACCUGAGAGGGUGACCGGCCACAUUGGGACUGAGACACGGCCCAAACUCC
rnacentral:rRNA from 1 species